AGUGAGGCUUCUGAUAUACUCCACAAAUGCACAGCACGUUCGCUGGUUAUCAUGGAUGAGCUUGGUAGAGGCACAAGUACACAUGACGGUGAAGCAAUUGCUUAUGCUACGUUACACCAUCGAUGCAUGGUACUCUUUGUAACUCACUAUCCUAAAAUUGCUGAUGUCAAAACUGAAUUCCUGGACUCUGUGGGGACAUACCAUGUUUCAUACCUAACUUCGGAGAAAAAUACGGAUGCCAUGGACUCAAAAUUCUAUAAUGAAAAUGUCACUUACCUUUAUAAGCUGGUGCCUGGUGUGUCAGAGAGGAGUUUUGCAUUUAAGGUCGCUCAGCUGGCACAGUUACCUUCAUCCUGCAUCAGACAGGCCACUAUCGGCUGCAAAGCUAGAAUUGGCGAUAAGCUGCAGGACAGGAAGCAAAUUGGAUAAAAGGCAGUUGCUGGGGACACUGCAAAGUGAUUGGGAACAAGAAACACGGGC
rnacentral:misc_RNA from 1 species